rnacentral:rRNA from 1 species
AGAGUUUGAUCAUGGCUCAGAUUGAACGCUGGCGGCAUGCUUUACACAUGCAAGUCGAACGGGGUUGGAGCUUGCUUCCAAUCUAGUGGCGAACGGGUGAGUAAUACAUCGGAACGUACCGUGUAGUGGGGGAUAACGUAGCGAAAGUUACGCUAAUACCGCAUACGAUCCACGGAUGAAAGCAGGGGACCUUCGGGCCUUGUGCUAUACGAGCGGCCGAUGUCUGAUUAGCUAGUUGGUGAGGUAAAGGCUCACCAAGGCAACGAUCAGUAGCGGGUCUGAGAGGAUGAUCCGCCACACUGGGACUGAGACACGGCCCAGACUCCUACGGGAGGCAGCAGUGGGGAAUUUUGGACAAUGGGCGCAAGCCUGAUCCAGCCAUGCCGCGUGUCUGAAGAAGGCCUUCGGGUUGUAAAGGACUUUUGUCAGGGAGCAAAUCCUGGUGGCUAAUAUCCACCGGGGAUGAGAGUACCUGAAGAAUAAGCACCGGCUAACUACGUG